AGUUCUUCGAAUCUUCCUGCACGCGAAAAUGCUCCACGGAAUCGAUGUUCACGCGUUGGACCCGAAUGUUUCAAGGGGUUGUCAAGGGCGGGGCGGGGAAUUGUACGAUCGUCCCAACAACGUUUACGUCCGUCACUUUUCGGCUAUCACUCUAUACUUUCUAUGUUACACAUGCCGGUCUGUAUGUAGAUGAACUUGGUAGACGGCUACCAUCUGGCUCGUAAAAAUAGAACGAAUUUUUUCUGAAGCGACGUAACUUUACGUCACGGAUACAUCAUUAAACGUUCGAUCUCAAAUGUUUUUCUUAUUCGGGAGCCAUCGCGUCGCGAACAGUUACGUAAAGUUCGAAUCGUUGUUGCGUCGUAAUGAUCGGUUUCCGAUUAGGGGCGAAAUUUGACGAUUGAAUCACCUAGUUACGCAUGGACCGCGUGACGUUACUCGUUGUACUAACGAAAAUGUAUUCGCAUGAUAUUUUAACAACGUUAAUGAGCCAUUAUCGAAUGUAGGUAUUGAACAUCCGAUGAAUAUAUAAUUUUCGGCAGAAAUGCUCGUAUUUCGUUUUAAUCUUGUUCCUGUCAUUUGAAGUGAUACAACUUCGUUAUGGAUGUGAUCGAAUUUUUCAGCCUCAAAUACACUACGAUUCAUCUAAAUCAGCUUACGAGCUAUUGAACUUCCCUCGCCACAAAUAUUUUAGCUAAGCAAAAGUAGAGUAAAACGUAAAUUCCUCGUAAAAUCGAUAUCAAAUUGUGUGAAAUACCUGUGAAUAAUAUUUAUAUUAUUUUAUAUGGACAUAUUGUACGAUUCGUCAAACGUUAAUGACGAAUCAAUGAUUUCAUCGAUCGUUUAUACGAUCGCUCGAUAUACAUUCACUGUAACAAUGAAAUGUUUUUUCAUUGACAAAAAUUGAUAAAUAUUACAAAAUACCAUCUUU